rnacentral:rRNA from 1 species
UACGUAUGGUGCAAGCGUUAUCCGGAUUUACUGGGUGUAAAGGGAGCGUAGGCGGUUUUACAAGUCUGAUGUGAAAGCCCGGGGCUCAACUCCGGUAUUGCAUUGGAAACUGUAGAACUAGAGUGUCGGAGGGGUAAGUGGAAUUCCUAGUGUAGCGGUGAAAUGCGUAGAUAUUAGGAGGAACACCAGUGGCGAAGGCGGCUUACUGGACGAUUACUGACGCUGAGGCUCGAAAGCGUGGGGAG